CCUACGGGGGGCAGCAGUGAGGAAUAUUGGUCAAUGGCCGGAAGGCUGAACCAGCCAUGCCGCGUGAAGGUCAGUGCCCUAUGGGCGUUAAACUUCUUUUGUGCGGGAGCAAUAAUGGUCACGGGGGGCCAGACGAGAGUACCGUACGAAUAAGCAGCGGCGAACUCCGUGCCAGCAGCCGCGGUAAGACGGGGGCUGCAAGCGUUCUCCUGAUUUCUUGGGGUUCAAGGGGGCGUCGGCGGGGAGGUAAGUCAGCGGUGAAAUGCCCCCGCUCAACGGGGUGAAGUGCCAUUGAUACUGCCUUGCUGGACUGCGGGUGCCGUGGGCGGAAUGUGUGGUGUAGCGGUGAAAUGCAUAGAUAUCCCACAGAACACCGAUUUCGAAGGCAUCUCACGACUCCGCGCUUGCCGCUGAUGCACGAAAGCGUGGGUAUCACACAGGAUUAGAUACCCCAGUAGUC
rnacentral:rRNA from 1 species